AUUGAACGCUGGCGGCAGGCCUAACACAUGCAAGUCGAGCGGAUGAUGGGAGCUUGCUCCUUGAUUCAGCGGCGGACGGGUGAGUAAUGCCUAGGAAUCUGCCUGGUAGUGGGGGACAACGUUUCGAAAGGAACGCUACUACCGCAUACGUCCUACGGGAGAAAGCAGGGGACCUUCGGGCCUUGCGCUAUCAGAUGAGCCUAGGUCGGAUUAGCUUGUUGGUGAGGUAAUGGCUCACCAAGGCGACGAUCCGUAACUGGUCGGAGAGGAUGAUCAGUCACACUGGAACUGAGACACGGUCCAGACUCCUACGGGAGGCAGCAGUGGGGAAUAUUGGACAAUGGGCGAAAGCCUGAUCCAGCCAUGCCGCGUGUGUGAAGAAGGUCUUCGGAUUGUAAAGCACUUUAAGUUGGGAGGAAGGGUUGUAGAUUAAUACUCUGCAAUUUUGACGUUACCGACAGAAUAAGCACCGGCUAACUCUGUGCCAGCAGCCGCAGUAAAAC
rnacentral:rRNA from 1 species